rnacentral:rRNA from 1 species
AUAAGUGCAUCAGGCGGAUGCCUUGGCGAUGAUAGGCGACGAAGGACGUGUAAGCCUGCGAAAAGCGCGGGGGAGCUGGCAAUAAAGCUAUGAUUCCGCGAUGUCCGAAUGGGGAAACCCACUGCAUUCUGUGCAGUAUCCUAAGUUGAAUACAUAGGCUUAGAGAAGCGAACCCGGAGAACUGAACCAUCUAAGUACCCGGAGGAAAAGAAAUCAACCGAGAUUCCGCAAGUAGUGGCGAGCGAACGCGGAGGAGCCUGUACGUAAUAACUGUCGAGAUAGAAGAACAAGCUGGGAAGCUUGACCAUAGCGGGUGACAGUCCCGUAUUCGAAAUCUCAACAGCGGUACUAAGCGUACGAAAAGUAGGGCGGGACACGUGAAAUCCUGUCUGAAUAUGGGGGGACCAUCCUCCAAGGCUAAAUACUCAUCAUCGACCGAUAGUGAACCAGUACCGUGAGGGAAAGGCGAAAAGAACCCCGGGAGGGGAGUGAAACAGAACCUGAAACCUGAUGCAUACAAACAGUGGGAGCGCCCUAGUGGUGUGACUGCGUACCUUUUGUAUAAUGGGUCAACGACUUACAUUCAGUAGCGAGCUUAACCGGAUAGGGGAGGCGUAGGGAAACCGAGUCUUAAUAGGGCGAUGAGUUGCUGGGUGUAGACCCGAAACCGAGUGAUCUAUCCAUGGCCAGGUUGAAGGUGCCGUAACAGGUACUGGAGGACCGAACCCACGCAUGUUGCAAAAUGCGGGGAUGAGCUGUGGGUAGGGGUGAAAGGCUAAACAAACUCGGAGAUAGCUGGUUCUCCCCGAAAACUAUUUAGGUAGUGCCUCGAGCAAGACACUGAUGGGGGUAAAGCACUGUUAUGGCUAGGGGGUUAUUGCAACUUACCAACCCAUGGCAAACUCAGAAUACCAUCAAGUGGUUCCUCGGGAGACAGACAGCGGGUGCUAACGUCCGUUGUCAAGAGGGAAACAACCCAGACCGCCGGCUAAGGUCCCAAAUGAUAGAUUAAGUGGUAAACGAAGUGGGAAGGCACAGACAGCCAGGAUGUUGGCUUAGAAGCAGCCAUCAUUUAAAGAAAGCGUAAUAGCUCACUGGUCGAGUCGUCCUGCGCGGAAGAUGUAACGGGGCUCAAAUCUAUAACCGAAGCUGCGGAUGCCGGUUUACCGGCAUGGUAGGGGAGCGUUCUGUAGGCUGAUGAAGGUGCAUUGUAAAGUGUGCUGGAGGUAUCAGAAGUGCGAAUGUUGACAUGAGUAGCGAUAAAGCGGGUGAAAAGCCCGCUCGCCGAAAGCCCAAGGUUUCCUACGCAACGUUCAUCGGCGUAGGGUGAGUCGGCCCCUAAGGCGAGGCAGAAAUGCGUAGUCGAUGGGAAACAGGUUAAUAUUCCUGUACUUGAUUCAAAUGCGAUGUGGGGACGGAGAAGGUUAGGUUGGCAAGCUGUUGGAAUAGCUUGUUUAAGCCGGUAGGUGGAAGACUUAGGCAAAUCCGGGUUUUCUUAACACCGAGAAGUGAUGACGAGUGUCUACGGACACGAAGCAACCGAUACCACGCUUCCAGGAAAAGCCACUAAGCUUCAGUUUGAAUCGAACCGUACCGCAAACCGACACAGGUGGGCAGGAUGAGAAUUCUAAGGCGCUUGAGAGAACUCGGGAGAAGGAACUCGGCAAAUUGAUACCGUAACUUCGGGAGAAGGUAUGCCCUCUAAGGUUAAGGACUUGCUCCGUAAGCCCCGGAGGGUCGCAGAGAAUAGGUGGCUGCGACUGUUUAUUAAAAACACAGCACUCUGCCAACACGAAAGUGGACGUAUAGGGUGUGACGCCUGCCCGGUGCCGGAAGGUUAAUUGAAGAUGUGCAAGCAUCGGAUCGAAGCCCCGGUAAACGGCGGCCGUAACUAUAACGGUCCUAAGGUAGCGAAAUUCCUUGUCGGGUAAGUUCCGACCCGCACGAAUGGCGUAACGAUGGCCACACUGUCUCCUCCCGAGACUCAGCGAAGUUGAAGUGGUUGUGAAGAUGCAAUCUACCCGCUGCUAGACGGAAAGACCCCGUGAACCUUUACUGUAGCUUUGCAUUGGACUUUGAAGUCACUUGUGUAGGAUAGGUGGGAGGCUUGGAAGCAGAGACGCCAGUCUCUGUGGAGUCGUCCUUGAAAUACCACCCUGGUGUCUUUGAGGUUCUAACCCAGACCCGUCAUCCGGGUCGGGGACCGUGCAUGGUAGGCAGUUUGACUGGGGCGGUCUCCUCCCAAAGCGUAACGGAGGAGUUCGAAGGUUACCUAGGUCCGGUCGGAAAUCGGACUGAUAGUGCAAUGGCAAAAGGUAGCUUAACUGCGAGACCGACAAGUCGGGCAGGUGCGAAAGCAGGACAUAGUGAUCCGGUGGUUCUGUAUGGAAGGGCCAUCGCUCAACGGAUAAAAGGUACUCCGGGGAUAACAGGCUGAUUCCGCCCAAGAGUUCAUAUCGACGGCGGAGUUUGGCACCUCGAUGUCGGCUCAUCACAUCCUGGGGCUGUAGUCGGUCCCAAGGGUAUGGCUGUUCGCCAUUUAAAGUGGUACGUGAGCUGGGUUUAAAACGUCGUGAGACAGUUUGGUCCCUAUCUGCAGUGGGCGUUGGAAGUUUGACGGGGGCUGCUCCUAGUACGAGAGGACCGGAGUGGACGAACCUCUGGUGUACCGGUUGUAACGCCAGUUGCAUAGCCGGGUAGCUAAGUUCGGAAGAGAUAAGCGCUGAAAGCAUCUAAGCGCGAAACUCGCCUGAAGAUGAGACUUCCCUUGCGGUUUAACCGCACUAAAGGGUCGUUCGAGACCAGGACGUUGAUAGGUGGGGUGUGGAAGCGCGGUAACGCGUGAAGCUAACCCAUACUAAUUGCCCGUGAGGCUUGACU